rnacentral:rRNA from 1 species
GACGAACGCUGGCGGCGUGCCUAAUACAUGCAAGUAGAACGCAGUUGCGAACGGGUGAGUAACGCGUAGGUAACUGCCUCAUAGCGGGGGAUAACUUUUGGAAACGAUAGCUAAUACCUCAUACUGUGAGAUUAACCUGCGUUGUAUUAGCUAGUUGGUGAGGUAAAGGCUCACCAAUGCGACGAUACAUAUCCGACCUGAGAGGGUGAUCGGCCACACUGGAGCUGGUACGCGGCCCAGACUCAUACGGGGAGCAGCAGUAGGGAAGCUUCGGCAAUGGACGGAAGUAUGAACGAGCAACGACGAGUGAGUGAUGACGGUUUUCGGAUCGUAAAGCUCUGUUGUUAGAGAAGCGGUAACGAACCAGAAAGGGACGGCUAACUACGUGCCAGCAGCCGCGGUAAUAC